rnacentral:rRNA from 1 species
AGCGGCAAAAGCUCAAAUUUGAAAUCUGGCUCUUUCAGAGUCCGAGUUGUAAUUUGAAGAAGGUAUCUUUGGGUCUGGCUCUUGUCUAUGUUUCUUGGAACAGAACGUCACAGAGGGUGAGAAUCCCGUGCGAUGAGAUGAUCCAGGCCUAUGUAAAGUUCCUUCGAAGAGUCGAGUUGUUUGGGAAUGCAGCUCUAAGUGGGUGGUAAAUUCCAUCUAAAGCUAAAUAUUGGCGAGAGACCGAUAGCGAACAAGUACAGUGAUGGAAAGAUGAAAAGAACUUUGAAAAGAGAGUGAAAAAGUACGUGAAAUUGUUGAAAGGGAAGGGCUUGAGAUCAGACUUGGUAUUUUGUAUGUUACUUCUUCGGGGGUGGCCUCUACAGUUUAUCGGGCCAGCAUCAGUUUGGGCGGUAGGAGAAUUGCGUUGGAAUGUGGCACGGCUUCGGUUGUGUGUUAUAGCCUUCGUCGAUACUGCCAGCCUAGACUGAGGACUGCGG